rnacentral:rRNA from 1 species
UACGGAGGAUCCAAGCGUUAUCCGGAUUUAUUGGGUUUAAAGGGUGCGCAGGCGGAAUGAUAAGUCAGUGGUGAAAUCUUACGGCUCAACUGUAAAACUGCCAUUGAUACUGUCGUUCUUGAGUAUAGUUGAAGUGGGCGGAAUGUGUCAUGUAGCGGUGAAAUGCAUAGAUAUGACACAGAACACCGAUUGCGAAGGCAGCUCACUAAACUGUAACUGACGCUCAUGCACGAAAGCGUGGGGAGCAAACAGGAUUAGAUACCCUGGUAGUCCACGCCGUAAACGAUGAUCACUCGAUGUUGGCGAUACACAGUCAGCGUCUGAGCGAAAGCAUUAAGUGAUCCACCUGGGGAGUACGAUCGCAAGGUUGAA